rnacentral:rRNA from 1 species
AUGCACGCUGGCGGCGUGCCUAAUCCCUGCAAGUCGCGCGCACGGACGAGAAGCUUGCUUCUCUGAUGUUAGCGGCGGACGGGUGAGUAACACGUGGAUAACCUACCUAUAAGACUGGGAUAACUUCGGGAAACCGGAGCUAAUACCGGAUGAUAUUUUGAACCGCAUGGUUCAAAGGUGAAAGACGGUCUUGCUGUCACUUAUAGAUGGAUCCGCGCUGCAUUAGCUAGUUGGUAAGGUAACGGCUUACCAAGGCAACGAUGCAUAGCCGACCUGAGAGGGUGAUCGGCCACACUGGAACUGAGACACGGUCCAGACUCCUACGGGAGGCAGCAGUAGGGAAUCUUCCGCAAUGGGCGAAAGCCUGACGGAGCAACGCCGCGUGAGUGAUGAAGGUCUUCGGAUCGUAAAACUCUGUUAUUAGGGAAGAACAUAUGUGUAAGUAACUGUGCACAUCUUGACGGUACCUAAUCAGAAAGCCACGGCUAACUACGUG